rnacentral:snoRNA from 1 species
CAGCAUAUAUGUAGACCUCGCCUGGCUGUCUUUAUGGUCAGCCGAGGGGGACUGUGUAUGCAGGAGUGGCGUGGAGUUCCUGCCAGCUCUGACCAGUUGAGUCAGUGGCUGGGUGAAUCGCAGGGCUCCAGCGUUC